UACGUAGGGUGCAAGCGUUGUCCGGAAUUAUUGGGCGUAAAGAGCUCGUAGGCGGUUUGUCGCGUCUGCUGUGAAAACGCGAGGCUCAACCUCGCGCCUGCAGUGGGUACGGGCAGACUAGAGUGCGGUAGGGGAGAUUGGAAUUCCUGGUGUAGCGGUGGAAUGCGCAGAUAUCAGGAGGAACACCGGUGGCGAAGGCGGGUCUCUGGGCCGAUACUGACACUGAGGAGCGAAAGCCAGGGGAGCAAACGGG
rnacentral:rRNA from 1 species